AUGCAGAGAAACUUUCCAGAGAUGGAUUGGUGCCUUCGGGAACGUCUGACACAGGUGCUGCAUGGCUGUCGUCGAGCUCGUGUCGUGAGAUGUUGGGUUAAGUCCCGUAACGAGCGCAACCCUUGUCCUUAGUUACCAGCACGUUAUGGUGGGCACUCUAAGGAGACUGCCGGUGACAAACCGGAGGAAGGUGGGGAUGACGUCAAGUCAUCAUGGCCCUUACGGCCUGGGCUACACACGUGCUACAAUGGUCGGUACAAAGGGUUGCCAAGCCGCGAGGUGGAGCUAAUCCCAUAAAACCGAUCGUAGUCUGGAUCGCAGUCUGCAACUCGACUGCGUGAAGUCGGAAUCGCUAGUAAUCGUGAAUCAGAAUGUCACGGUGAAUACGUUCCCGGGCCUU
rnacentral:rRNA from 1 species